AUUGAACGCUGGCGGCAGGCCUAACACAUGCAAGUCGAACGAGUGGCGGACGGGUGAGUAAUGUCUGGGAAACUGCCUGAUGGAGGGGGAUAACUACUGGAAACGGUAGCUAAUACCGCAUACCAUCGGAUGUGCCCAGAUGGGAUUAGCUAGUAGGUGGGGUAAAGGCUCACCUAGGCGACGAUCCCUAGCUGGUCUGAGAGGAUGACCAGCCACACUGGAACUGAGACACGGUCCAGACUCCUACGGGAGGCCGCAGGGGGGAAUAUUGCACAAUGGGCGCAAGCCUGAUGGAGCCAUUCCGCGUGUGUGAAGAAGGGCUUCGGGUUGUAAAACUCUUUUAGCGGGGAAGCGGUACCCGCAGAAGAAGCACCGGCUAACUCCGUGCCAGCAGCCGCGGUAAUAC
rnacentral:rRNA from 1 species